CCAGAGGGCCCAAGACCGCAGAAUGGGAUCUCCAAAAGGUUGACUCCUAACUUUAGCAGGAGGGUUUCGGGUAGGGAUCCCGUGACGGCGUGGGGUCAUAAAUCACACCGGUGGACCUUUUCAUUGCCUUCUUUCUUGUUGGUGACCUCUGCCUCAAGGUGGGUGGGGGGUGGGAAAUCUGAGCAGAACAUCUGGGGUGGGGGGGGGGGUUGUCAGAUUGAAGCAAGGGACAAGGCAAGCUUGGUCUUUAUUAAGCACAUGGCCUCCAGAGAAAUGGAAUAUUCAAAGUGUUGUGUGAACAAGGCGAAUGUGGAGCUUUCUGCUUAGUCUGGGAGACUUUUUUUUUCUAACUUCAUUUGAGUUGUAUUUAACUUUCAAGUUAAGUAAGCAUUUAACGUUUAAGAUUUUACUAAAUUAUACAUUUUAAUGAAAUUGUUACUCAAGUACCCUAUUAGCUGGCAUCUAUACAUUUCAGUUACACAGAAUUUUUUUUUUAAAGUAAAACAAUGCUACAGAUGAAGGACUUUGAAACGCAAAAAGUUUGAAUAAGAAAAAAAAUGGAGGUCAUGAAGUCUUCAUGUUCAGAGGGAGAAAGUCUGAUUUACUAAUUGCAAUGUUACCCCCCCCCCCCCAAAAAAGUGUCUGUGGCCCUCCUCAGUUUUUAGCUCCCCAUUACGUCGUUUUCACGUGAAGUCAACAAAAACUAGAGCGUUUUCACCCGAAAAAGUUUCCCCUUCUCAUUGACCUACAUUGUUGCACGUUAGCUCAUACAGCCAAAUUGUCCGACGGCUAACAGAAGCAUGCUAGCCGGAUUAGCCUUUUUUUUUUUUCUCCGGAGGGAAAUUAAAGAA